UACGUAGGCAGCAAGCGUUGUUCGGAAUUACUGGGCGUAAAGAGUGUGUAGGCGGUGCUCCAAGUCUGGUGUGAAAUCUCCGGGCUCAACCUGGAAACUGCCAUUGAUACUAUUAGUCUUGAAUUUUGUUGAGGUAGGCGGAAUAAGUCAUGUAGCGGUGAAAUGCAUAGAUAUGACUUAGAACACCAAUUGCGAAGGCAGCUUGCUAAACAAAUAUUGACGCUGAGGCACGAAAGCGUGGGGAUCAAACAGG
rnacentral:rRNA from 1 species